UGAGAACUCUUUGGUUUUUGGCUCUGUGAUUGCUUCGCCUUAUUGGCAAUAUACGCUAUUCUGA